AAUAUUGGUCAAUGGAGGCAACUCUGAGCCAGCCACGUCGCGUGAAGGAUGACGGCCCUAUGGGUUGUAAACUUCUUUUAUACAGGAAUAAAGUGAGCCACGAGUGGUUUUUUGCAUGUACUGUAUGAAUAAGGAUCGGCUAACUCCGUGCCAGCAGCCGCGGUAAUACGGAGGAUCCGAGCGUUAUCCGGAUUUAUUGGGUUUAAAGGGUGCGCAGGCGGGAGAUUAAGUCGGCGGUGAAAUUUUGCAGCUCAACUGUAAAAGUGCCUUCGAAACUGGUUUUCUUGAGUGUGGAUGAAGUAGGCGGAAUUUGUGGUGUAGCGGUGAAAUGCAUAGAUAUCACGAGGAACUCCGAUUGCGCAGGCAGCUUACUAAGCCAUAACUGACGCUCAUGCACGAAGGCGUGGGGAUCAAACAGG
rnacentral:rRNA from 1 species